UACAGAGGGUGCAAGCGUCAAUCGGAAUUAUUGGGCGUAAAGGGCGCGUAGGUGGCGACACAAGUCUGAUGUGAAAUCCCUGGGCUUAACCUGGGAACUGCGUUAGAAACGGUGUGGCUAGAGUUGGGCAGAGGGCAGUGGAAUCUCCGGUGUAGCGGUGAAAUGCGUAGAGAUCGGAAAGAACACCAGUGGCGAAGGCGACUGCCUGGGCCCAAACUGACACUGAGGCGCGAAAGCGUGGGGAGCAAACAGG
rnacentral:rRNA from 1 species